GAAUGCCUCUCUCUCAUAAUUGGAGAAAUUGCAUAUCAGCCUAUCAUCAUAGGUUAGGUUGAUAGCAGAUGAGAAGCAUUAAAGCUCGGGGUGGAGAAGAAGGCAUGUGCAGUGCUGCCAUGAAAGUCAACCGCUGAGACGAAGGGAAAAGAGACAACUAAGGAAGCACAACCACCUGAAUUCUGGGACCAUUUUGUGUAGAAGCAAACAUCAAUACAGUGUAACAGAUAGAAGGAUUUUGAAUUGGCCACGUGACUUGCUUCAACCAAUGGGACAUUAGCCAGAGUGAUACAAGCAGAGGCUUGAUAAAAAUUUGUACACACUGGUGCUUACUAUCUCGAGAUACUUGCUCUUGGAAGCCAUAUGUCAAGUAAGAAGUCUGACCACCAUAAUAUCACCAUAUAAGAGGAAACCUAAGCUAGUCAAGUGGAGAGAGAGAUGCCUUGCUAGCUCCCAGCUGAGGCACCUAGUCAUGUGAGCAAAGAAACCAUUUUGGAUGUUCCAGUCU